AGUGAGAAUGCCGGAAUGAGUAGCGAGAAUUAUGUGAGAAUCAUAAUGGCCGAAAAUCUAAGGUUUCCUGAGGAAGGUUCGUCCGCUCAGGGUAAGCCGGGGGCUAAGGCGAGGCGGAGACGCGUAGCCGAUGCACAUACGGUUGAAAUUCCGUAGCCACCGAAAGAUUUAAGUACAGGGACGCUUUAGAAGUGAUGUAGCCGGGCGAUGGUUGACCCGGUCGUAAGGGAUCGAAAAUGAGUAGAGAAGUCAUCAUGGAAAGAGACAAGAAAAGCUGUAUGAAUAUCUUAGGUGCCCGUACCGCAAACCGACACAGGUAGAUAGGAAGAAGAUUCUAAGGCCAACGGGAGAAGGGUUGUUAAGGAACUCGGCAAGUUGACCCCGUAACUUAGGGAUAAGGGGUGCUCAAGUGAUUGAGCCGCAGAGAAUAGGCCCAGGCGACUGUUUAGCAAAAACACAGGUCUCUGCUAAAUCGAAAGAUGACGUAUAGGGGCUGACACCUGCCCGGUGCCGGAAGGUUAAGAGGAGAUGUGAGAGCAUUGAAUUGAAGCCCCGGUAAACGGCGGCCGUAACUAUAACGGUCCUAAGGUAGCGAAAUUCCUUGUCAGGUAAGUUCUGACCCGCACGAAAGGUGUAACGAUCUGGGCACUGUCUCAACAACCCGCCCGGCGAAAUUGUAGUACCGGUGAAGAUGCCGGUUACCCGCGACUAGACGGAAAGACCCCAUGGAGCUUUACUGUAGCCUAAUAUUGGAUUUCGGUAUUUCACGUACAGGAUAGGUGGGAGACUGGGAAGCACAGGCGUCAGCUUGUGUGGAGUCGACCUUGGGAUACCACUCUUGGAGUGCUGGAAUUCUAACCUGCGGCUUUGAAGCAAGUCGGGGGACAUUGUUAGGUGGGCAGUUUGACUGGGGCGGUCGCCUCCUAAAGAGUAACGGAGGCGCUCAAAGGUUCGCUCUGCAUGGAUGGAAACCAUGCGUCAGAGUGUAAACGCAAAAGCGAGCCUAACUGCGAGAAUGACGGUUCGAGCAGUAACGAAAGUUGGAGUUAGUGAUCCGGCGGUAUGUGAAUGGAAAUGCCGUCGCUCAACGGAUAAAAGCUACCCUGGGGAUAACAGGCUGAUCUCCCCCAAGAGUCCACAUCGACGGGGAGGUUUGGCACCUCGAUGUCGGCUCAUCGCAUCCUGGGGCUGAAUUCGGUCCCAAGGGUUUGGCUGUUCGCCAAUUAAAGCGGUACGCGAGCUGGGUUCAGAACGUCGUGAGACAGUUCGGUCCCUAUCUGUCGUGGGCGUAGGAUAUUUGCAAGGAGCUGUCCCUAGUACGAGAGGACCGGGAUGGACGCACCUCUGGUGCACCAGUUGUCACGCCAGUGGCACAGCUGGGCAGCUAUGUGCGGAACGGAUAAACGCUGAAGGCAUCUAAGCGUGAAGCCGCCCUUAAGAUAAGAUAUCCCUUCUGUUUACAGAGUAAGACCCCUUGAAGACUACAAGGUUGAUAGGCUCAAAGUGUAAGCACGGUGACGUGUUUAGCUAGCGAGUACUAAUCGGUCGAGGGCUUAACCUU
rnacentral:rRNA from 1 species